rnacentral:lncRNA from 1 species
GCUUAGAGCACGAUGUGUGGAGGAAGUGGGGGCUGCGUGAGUCCCUCCUUCUUGGCACGCUAGCGUUCUGAGGGGAGGGCUGUGCUUUAAACAUGCAGGCAUAAUUAACAGGACCUCUCCUUGUACAUAGCUCGAGUGUCAGUCUUACGGAAACGGAGCCCACCUGGCAUCUAUCCUGAGUUUAAAGGAAGCCAGCACCAUAGCAGAGUACAUAAGUGGCUAUCAGAGAAGCCAGCCGAUAUGGAUUGGCCUGCACGACCCACAGAAGGUAACCUCAGACUUGGCCACAAAGGCCCUCUUGGGAAAGCCAGGCUGGCAUCCUCUUUUUGGGGAAUGGCCUCCCGGCCUAUAACAAGGACACAGCGGGUGGAUCUUCUCCAGAUGUGCCUCCAGCUGACGGAGACCAAAGUCUCAAGAGGCAGCAGUGGCAGUGGAUUGAUGGGGCCAUGUAUCUGUACAGAUCCUGGUCUGGCAAGUCCAUGGGUGGGAACAAGCACUGUGCUGAGAUGAGCUCCAAUAACAACUUUUUAACUUGGAGCAGCAACGAAUGCAACAAGCGCCAACACUUCCUGUGCAAGUACCGACCAUAGAGCAAGAAUCAAGAUUCUGCUAACUCCUGCACAGCCCCGUCCUCUUCCUUUCUGCUAGCCUGGCUAAAUCUGCUCAUUAUUUCAGAGGGGAAACCUAGCAAACUAAGAGUGAUAAGGGCCCUACUACACUGGCUUUUUUAGGCUUAGAGACAGAAACUUUAGCAUUGGCCCAGUAGUGGCUUCUAGCUCUAAAUGUUUGCCCCGCCAUCCCUUUCCACAGUAUCCUUCUUCCCUCCUCCCCUGUCUCUGGCUGUCUCGAGCAGUCUAGAAGAGUGCAUCUCCAGCCUAUGAAACAGCUGGGUCUUUGGCCAUAAGAAGUAAAGAUUUGAAGACAGAAGGAAGAAACUCAGGAGUAAGCUUCUAGACCCCUUCAGCUUCUACACCCUUCUGCCCUCUCUCCAUUGCCUGCACCCCACCCCAGCCACUCAACUCCUGCUUGUUUUUCCUUUGGCCAUGGGAAGGUUUACCAGUAGAAUCCUUGCUAGGUUGAUGUGGGCCAUACAUUCCUUUAAUAAACCAUUGUGUACAUAAGA